rnacentral:rRNA from 1 species
GAGGAUGCUUUUGGCGAGGUGCCUUCCGAGUUCCCUGGAACGGGACGCCACAGAGGGUGAGAGCCCCGUCUGGUCGGAUACCGAGCCUCUGUAAAGCUCCUUCGACGAGUCGAGUAGUUUGGGAAUGCUGCUCUAAAUGGGAGGUAUAUGUCUUCUAAAGCUAAAUACCGGCCAGAGACCGAUAGCGCACAAGUAGAGUGAUCGAAAGAUGAAAAGCACUUUGAAAAGAGGGUUAAAUAGUACGUGAAAUUGUUGAAAGGGAAGCGCUUAUGACCAGACUUGGGCCCGGUGAAUCAUCCAGCGUUCUCGCUGGUGCACUUUGCCGGGCUCAGGCCAGCAUCAGUUUGCCCCGGGGGAUAAAGGCUCUGGGAACGUGGCUCCUCCGGGAGUGUUAUAGCCCACUGCACAAUACCCUGGGGCGGACUGAGGUUCGCGCAUCUGCAAGGAUGCUGGCGUAAUGGUCAUCAGCGACCCGUCUUGAAACACGGACCAAGGAGUCGUCUUCGUAUGCGAGUGUUCGGGUGUCAAACCCCUACGCGUAAUGAAAGUGAACGCAGGUGAGAGCUUCGGCGCAUCAUCGACCGAUCUGAUGUUCUCGGAUGGAUUUGAGUAAGAGCAUACGGGGCCGGACCCGAAAGAAGGUGAACUAUGCCUGUAUAGGGUGAAGCCAGAGGAAACUCUGGUGGAGGCUCGCAGCGGUUCUGACGUGCAAAUCGAUCGUCAAAUAUGGGCAUGGGGGCGAAAGACUAAUCGAACCUUCUAGUAGCUGGUUUC